GACGAACGCUGGCGGCGUGCCUAAUACAUGCAAGUCGAACGCAGUGGGGACGGGCGAGUAACACGUGGGUAACCUCUCCUCAGAGUGGAUAACACUUGGAAACAGGUUCCAAACCGAUAUCGCUGGAUGGACCCGUUGUGCAUUAGCUAGUUGGUGAGGUAACGGCUAACCAAGGCAACGAUGCAUAGCUGACGUGAGAGGGAGUACAGUCACACUGGGACUGAGACACGGCCCAGACUCCGACGGGAGGCAGCAGUGGGUAAUCUGCGGCAAUGGAGGAAAGUCUGACCGAGCGACGCCGCGUGAAGUAAGAAGGCUGUCGGGUCGUAAAGCUCUGUUGUUAGAGAAGCGGUAUCUAAAGAGAGAGCCACGGCUAACUACGUGCCAGCAGCCGCGGUAAUUC
rnacentral:rRNA from 1 species